UACGGAGGGUGCAAGCGUUAUCCGGAUUCACUGGGUUUAAAGGGUGCGUAGGUGGCCAGGUAAGUCAGGGGUGAAAUCUUUGGGCUUAACCCGAAAACUGCCAUUGAUACUAUUUGUCUUGAAUAUUGUGGAGGUCAGCGGAAUAUGUCAUGUAGCGGUGAAAUGCUUAGAUAUGACAUAGAACACCAAUUGCGAAGGCAGCUGGCUACACAUAUAUUGACACUGAUGCACGAAAGCGUGGGGAUCAAACAGG
rnacentral:rRNA from 1 species